AAUGGCACAGCAAUUCAGCAUGCAUCUAUUUGAAAACGUUUCACCUUAGGCCUACAGCAAGAUCAACUGAAGGUUGCCUGACGUGGUGGGGGUGUGGCUGUGAAGACAUGGAUAAUUGGGCUGAUCGCAAUGAACAGAAUCAAUUGCUGCUACCUUCGGACGCAGAGAGCACCUUUUGCUUCGACAGCUUCUACUUUGACAACAAAGCUUUGGAUUCUACUUGACUACACGACUGGGAUUCACUCUUGAAAAGGUACACAUUGUUUGCAUUGUAUUGCAUGGUAUUGCAUUGCAGCCAAUGAGUUCAAAGAGGUUGGCCAGACAGACCUACACAAAGGAAUGGAAGAGGGCGCGGCGAGAGGUGUUGAAUGUGCGAGCACUGGUGUGUGCCCAACUGGAUGCAGGAGAUGCAGCAAGCAGGGAAGAGCAGGCUGUGCGAGAUGCAGCAAGCAGGGAAGAGCA